CAGUCGUUCUCCCCGCAGGCAACUCCAUAUCCAGCGCGCGUGCUCCGCCUCCCCAAUGCAAAUUGGUUUUCCCAACGCCGCUGGCCGGCAUCUCCCUCUCCCUCGACCUCCCCAGCGGCCUGCCCUCCUGUCCCCAAAUCCAGGCGAGGCAUGUGGGCGGCGGCGGCGGCGGCGAGGUGCGCCUCCCUCUCCCUCGAGAUUCGACCUCACCGGCGUCCUCUCCCCCAGUCCAUGCGGUGCGAGGCAUGAGGACGGCGGCGGCGGUGAGGCGACUAGGACGCAACGGAGGUGAGGUGAGGCGACGGGACCACGGCACGAUCUAGGUUGGGCGCAUCGACGGCGCGGAGUCUCCCCUCCACGACAAUAAACUCGUCCACGCCCUCCUCUACUCCAGGGCCAGCCUAGGUUGAAUCAUGGGCAUUGCGUAAGGCAAUGGAUUCAUGGAGGUAGAGAUGGAAGAACAAUUUUUUAGGUGAUUCGUAAUUUCUUCUUUGACUCGAUGAAACGGAAUCCUCAGAAAAUAUUCUUGUCUCUUCCUUUAUAGCUCAUAUAAGGCCUAUCCAAUUCCUUAGUUCCAGACUAUUGUGAACCUCGGAGGACUAAGGUAAAGUUGCUGAAAGCAAGAAAACACAUAGCAAGUUUUUGAAGUUUGACGAAGUUUAACUUCAUGCUUGAAUAGAAUAUUUGUAUCAAAUCUUCCUCAGAGGAGUAACGUUAGGUUGCUGAAAGCGUUAAAAGAAGUUCAAGCUUGCUAGAUUGACAAAGUUUUCACUCCAUUCUCUAGCUAGCUAUUCCUAUCCCAUUUUUUGGGGGGGAGCAGGUCAGGUAGGCAUAGCAAUAACAUUACUAUGCAACUCUGCAUAGAUGACUGAUUUGGUAAUGUACCUGUCCAAACUUGUUACAUAUGGAUGACAUCAUUUUAUUCCAUUUGCUUGCCCACAACUUUUCUAUUUAAUAUAUAUGGCGGGUACUGCCCUACUGGUUGUGUGAACGUCAUCCAGAUGAUGCUAAUGUCUUGAACACAAUAGUCUUGUUACGCCAUAAGUAUUUGAUUUUCAGAAGAAGAAAAAUGCAUUUUGAUGAUGCACUGAGCACCAUAUUUUUUGUUGAUAUGACUUCCUAUUGACUAUCCAUAAGGCCAUGUGAUCUACCACGUAGAGCCUAAGGGCUGCCCACCGAUUUAACAUGGGUGAAGCAUCUGCUACUUUUCCUUUGCUCAUUUGUUAAUCUAUUUGUUAGUUGCCAUCGUAUUAUAAUGCCUCCAUGAGGUGUUCGGUAUGCUGCUUGUGCUCACGGGCGCAAUCCUGAGACGUGCCUAUGGGAAGGCAUAGAUUCAUGUUUGAUUGUGUUCCUUUUUGGAUUUUGUGAGAGAUGAAUGGACCUGGAUUGUGUAAUGUCGAUGGAUGGUGCAGGGAUAAAUUCCUCUCAUGGACUCUUAAUCGAUUGACAAUAAACUGGAUGGCGAGCCAUGAAGCAAUCAAGAGCGAGAAGCAUGGUGGCAAGGGAGAGAGCGCCAAUGGUUGCUGGAGAAGAUGUCAAGUCUUCGUCAUGACACGCGGUUGAGGCCAUAUAUAGGAUAAUGUCUGUAUGAUGUCAAAUCAUAAAACACAGCAUCCAACACUUCAGUUAUAUUUAAGCUAGACAGACAGAGUGACUACGUCAGCGACACCAAUCAAGAGUGAAAGUGUCACCGAUCGACACAUUCAAGAAUAGUGGCAAGGGACCGGAAGUCAGAUGGCUCUAACAAGCAGGAGCACCUACAGGGCACACAUCAUUAUUCCAAGGACACCAAGGUCGCGUCGGAGUUUGACAUGAUGUCCUUGCCCUACUACACUCCAUUCAGCGGCAUGGUUAGUAUGACUACAAAGAUGCACUAGAGAAAUGGUCAGGCAAGCUCGCAGAGUUGAGCGUGGGAAGGCAGCCAGAGAACGGCUAUGGUUGAUGUUCUGAUUAGAGGUUCAGAGUGUGGGGGGCAUGGUAAAAUUCAUCCCUUCUUUUGAAAUUUGUAGGAAACCAGAAACAAGGGCACUCUUGUAUAUAUGACAACACUUGGUCCUGCUUGUGUUAACAGAUAGUUUUGUCAGAGAGGAAAGCAACUCUUUUUGAAAUGAACUUGUAUGUAAGUUGUGGAGUUUCAAUGCAAUUUUUUAUUUUGUUUAUUUGUUAGUUGUAGGAAGCUGGAUGUAA